rnacentral:rRNA from 1 species
CCUACGGGUGGCAGCAGUGGGGAAUAUUGCACAAUGGGGGAAACCCUGCUGCAGCGACGCCGCGUGAGUGAAGAAGUAUUUCGGUAUGUAAAGCUCUAUCAGCAGGGAAGAUAAUGACGGUACCUGACUAAGAAGCCCCGGCUAACUACGUGCCAGCAGCCGCGGUAAUACGUAGGGGGCAAGCGUUAUCCGGAUUUACUGGGUGUAAAGGGUGCGUAGGUGGCAGGGCAAGUCAGAUGUGAAAGCCCGGGGCUCAACCCCGGUACUGCAUUUGAAACUGUCCAGCUGGAGUGCAGGAGAGGUAAGCGGAAGUCCUAGUGUAGCGGUGAAAUGCGUAGAUAUCAGGAAGAACGCCGAUUGCGAAGGCAGCUUACUAAACUGCAACUGACAGUGAUGCUCGAAAGUGUGGGUAGCAAACAGGAUUAGAUACCCCUGUAGUC